rnacentral:rRNA from 1 species
AGCUCGUGUCGUGAGAUGUUGGGUUAAGGUCCGCGUAACGAGCGCAACCCCUAUCACUCUGUUGCCAGCAUUAAGGUGGGGACGUCAGAUAGAGACUGCCGGUGACAAACCGGAGGAAGGUGGGGAUGACGUCAAGUCAUCAUGGCCCUUACGGCCUGGGCUACACACGUGCUACAAUGGUCGGUACAAAGGGUUGCCAAGCCGCGAGGUGGAGCUAAUCCCAUAAAACCGAUCGUAGUCCGGAUCGCAGUCUGCAACUCGACUGCGUGAAGUCGGAAUCGCUAGUAAUCGUGAAUCAGAAUGUCACGGUGAAUACGUUCCCGGGCCUU